CCAUCAAGAUAUUCGGAGCUAACAAAAAC
rnacentral:piRNA from 1 species